rnacentral:rRNA from 1 species
AGUGAACGCUGGCGGUAGGCCUAACACAUGCAAGUCGAACGGCAGCACAGUAAGAGCUUGCUCUUACGGGUGGCGAGUGGCGGACGGGUGAGGAAUACAUCGGAAUCUACUUUUUCGUGGGGGAUAACGUAGGGAAACUUACGCUAAUACCGCAUACGACCUACGGGUGAAAGCAGGGGAUCUUCGGACCUUGCGCGAUUGAAUGAGCCGAUGUCGGAUUAGCUAGUUGGCGGGGUAAAGGCCCACCAAGGCGACGAUCCGUAGCUGGUCUGAGAGGAUGAUCAGCCACCAUGGAACUAAGACACGGUCCAAACCCCUAGGGGAGGCAGCAGGGGGGAAUAUUGGAAAAGGGGCGCAAGCCUGAUCCAGCCAUACCGGGGGGGUGAAGAAGGCCUUGGGGUUGUAAAGCCCUUUUGUUGGGAAAGAAAAACAGCAGGUUAAUACCCCGCUGUUCUGGCGGUACCAAAAGAAUAAGCACCGGCUAAUUUCGU